UACGAAGGGGGCUAGCGUUGCUCGGAAUCACUGGGCGUAAAGGGCGCGUAGGCGGCAAUUCAAGUCAGCUGUGAAAUCUCCGAGCUUAACUCGGAACGGUCAGCUGAUACUGUUUUGCUAGAGUACAGAAGGGGCAAUCGGAAUUCUUGGUGUAGCGGUGAAAUGCGUAGAUAUCAAGAGGAACACCUGAGGUGAAGACGGGUUGCUGGGCUGAUACUGACGCUGAGGCGCGAAAGCUAGGGUAGCAAACGGG
rnacentral:rRNA from 1 species